UACAGAGGUGGCAAGCGUUGUUCGGAAUUACUGGGCGUAAAGGGCGAGUAGGUGGCCAUCUAAGUCAGACGUGAAAUCCCCCCGGCUUAACCUGGGAACUGCGUCUGAUACUGGACGGCUUGAGUAUGGGAGAGGAACGUAGAAUUCCAGGUGUAGCGGUGAAAUGCGUAGAUAUCUGGAGGAAUACCGGUGGCGAAGGCGGCGUUCUGGACCAUUACUGACACUGAAUCGCGAAAGCUAGGGGAGCAAACGGG
rnacentral:rRNA from 1 species